rnacentral:rRNA from 1 species
UACGUAGGGCGCAAGCGUUGUCCGGAAUUAUUGGGCGUAAAGAGCUCGUAGGCGGCUUGUCACGUCGGGUGUGAAAGCCCGGGGCUUAACCCCGGGUCUGCAUUCGAUACGGGCUAGCUAGAGUGUCGGAGAGGUUGGUGGAAUUCUCGGUGUAGAGGUGAAAUUCGUAGAUAUCGAGAGGAACACCGGUGGCGAAGGCGGCCAACUGGACGAACACUGACGCUGAGACUCGAAAGCGUGGGGAGCAAACAGG